rnacentral:rRNA from 1 species
GACAGAGGGUGCAAACGCUGUUCGGAUUUACUGGGCGUAAAGCGUGUGUAGGCGGCUUGGCAAGUUGGAUGUGAAAGCCCACGGCUCAACCGUGGAAGCGCACCCAAAACUGCUUCGCUCGAGUCUCGGAGAGGAAGGUGGAAUGCUUGGUGUAGAGGUGAAAUUCGUAGAUAUCAAGCAGAACACCUGCGGCGAAGGCGGCCUUCUGGACGAUGACUGACGCUGAGACACGAAAGCUAGGGGAGCAAACAGG